rnacentral:rRNA from 1 species
CAGCAGCAGCCGCGGGAAUACAGAGGGUGCGAGCGUUAAUCGGAUUUACUGGGCGUAAAGCGUGCGUAGGCGGCUUCUUAAGUCGGAUGUGAAAUCCCUGAGCUUAACUUAGGAAUUGCAUUCGAUACUGGGAAGCUAGAGUAUGGGAGAGGAUGGUAGAAUUCCAGGUGUAGCGGUGAAAUGCGUAGAGAUCUGGAGGAAUACCGAUGGCGAAGGCAGCCAUCUGGCCUAAUACUGACGCUGAGGUACGAAAGCAUGGGGAGCAAACAGGAUUAGAUACCCCGGUAGUCCCUGUCUCUUAUAC